UGGCGGACGGGUGAGUAACGCGUGGGUAACCUGCCUCACACAGGGGGAUAACAGUUGGAAACGACCGCUAAUACCGCAUAACCCGCUGGUACCGCAUGGUACUGACGGAAAAGAUUUAUCGGUGUGAGAUGGACCCGCGUCUGAUUAGCCAGUUGGCAGGGUAACGGCCUACCAAAGCGACGAUCAGUAGCCGGCCUGAGAGGGUGAACGGCCACAUUGGGACUGAGACACGGCCAAACUCCUACGGAAGGCAGCAG
rnacentral:rRNA from 1 species